rnacentral:lncRNA from 13 species
AAUGUAGUUCAGUGGCUGACAGCUGUCCUUAUUAGCCAACAACAUUAGAAGGGUCUGGGAUUCCUUUAAAAGGAGCAACCAAACAUCUGGCAAAUAUAGUAAAAGGGAUAUUCUGGUAGGAUGUAUGCCUACCAUUAGUGCUGAAUACUGGUGAGGUUUUGAGGGCAAAAUGGCUGUGAUGAUUGGAAUCGCUUUCAGCGUUUCUUGGCUUUGUUGCCUGCUAAUUGGAGGGAUAACGUGUUCUACAUCAGAAGGUGAUUGGUCUCCUGCACUGGAUUCUAAUGCAGCAUGGCUUGACGCAGGAUCACUUCGGUCUCUAGGAUAUAGCAAUUAUAAGUCUCCAAAAUCUCAAAUGCAAGCGCAACAGAAACAUCCGGCCGCCAUCCUGCGGAAGGACUUGGCCCCCAUGUCCCAGCAACCUCAGCAAGUGUGGUAUCCAGUUCAAAUGCCCCUGCAACCAGCCGCAGAAGCUCAGCCGCAGAGGCAACCGACAACUGUGCCCCAGCAGGUGUGGCAUCAAGCUCACAUGCUGACGCAACCAUCGACUGCCGUGCCCCAGCAAGUGUGGCAUCAAGCUCACAUGUUGACGCAUAAGCAACCGACUGCCGUGCCCCAGCAAGUGUGGCAUCAAGCUCACAUGCUGAUGCAUAAGCAACCGACCGCCGUGCCCCAGCAAGUGUGGCAUCCAGCUCAAAUUCCCCUGCAGCAGAAGCAACCGACCGCUGUGCCCCAGCAAGUUUGGCAUCCUAAUCAAAUGCUGCAGAAGCAACCGACCGCCUUGCCUCAGCAAGUGUGGCAUCCUGCUCAAAUUACCCUGCAGCAGAAGCAACCGACCGCUGUGCCCCAGCAAGUAUGGCAUCCUUCUAAAAUGCCCCUGCAAACAACCGCUGUGCCCCA